GACGUAGGAUGCGAGCGUUGUCCGGAUUUAUUGGGCGUAAAGAGUUCGUAGGUGGUUCGUUCAGUCUGAUGUUAAAGACUGGGGCUCAACCCUGGGAGUGCAUUGGAUACUGGCGGACUGGAGUGCAGUAGAGGCAAGCGGAAUUCCCAGUGUAGCGGUGAAAUGCGUAGAUAUUGGGAAGAACACCGGUGGCGCAAGCGGCUUGCUGGGCUGUAACUGACGCUGAGGAACGAAAGCUAGGGGAGCAAAUGGG
rnacentral:rRNA from 1 species